rnacentral:rRNA from 1 species
UACGUAGGGGGCAAGCGUUGUCCGGAAUCAUUGGGCGUAAAGCGCGUGUAGGUGGCAAGAUAAGUCGGGUGUGAAAGCCCUUGGCUCAACCAAGGAAGUGCAUUCGAUACUGGCUCGCUUGAGUACCGGAGGGGAUGCGGAAUUCCAGGUGUAGCGGUGAAAUGCGUAGAUAUCAGGAGGAACACCUGCGGUGUAGACGGCUUUCUGGACCAUUGCUGACGCUGAGACACGAAAGCGUGGGUAGCAAACAGG